GUACACACCGCCCGUCGCUACUACCGAUUGAAUGGUUUAGUGAGGUCUUUGGAUUGUCUUUUCUCUGAAAGGAUGAAAAAUUGCCCAAACUUGGUCAUUUAGAGGAAGUAAAAGUCGUAACAAGGUAACCGUAGGUGAACCUGCAGAAGGAUCA
rnacentral:rRNA from 1 species